AUGUGCCACGUCAAGACUGGAAAUCACAGCACUUCAGUGUGUUUCAGUUUUGCACACUAGGGAAUAAGAAACGCUAAGGGACACUGUGAAAAAGGAGGACUUCAGAAUAAAGCGGGGAAGACAUUCUGGUAAGGCCUACUUUGGAAGAACACCUGGCCUAUGACCUGGCGAACCUAGGUGACUCCCCUCCCCCCUUCCUCCAGUCAUCACUGCAAGAAAGAUGGAGCUCUGAUGGUGCACUAAAACCUAUGCAAGAAAUGAGAGAGGUAUAUUGCCUAGAGGUAUAUUACCUAGAGAAGUGUACAAGAGUAGAGUUAAAGUCGGUCAUUUCUUUUUUUUUAUUUUAAUUUAAAAUAAAGCAUUUUUUCCCCCACAAACUAAAAAGGUAAAUUUAAUUUUUUUUUUUACUUGUAGCAGUCAGUAUAAAUAUUUAAGGAGUAUUUAAUUUAUUUUUCUAGACUUGCUAGAAGUAUGUAUUCUGACUAGCUCCUGUUGUGAACUAUGAUCUGAAGAUCGAUUUAAAAAAAUUAUUUCCUUUUAAAGUAAUAAAAUAAUAGAAGAGAAUGCAUGAAUAAUAUUUUAAAUUAUUAUAAAAUAUAUUAUAUCACCUUUGGGAAAACUGUACUUAGAUUUUCAUAUGCAGUUGAAACUUCUUUGCAAGUAACUUAUGUUAUGUGUGCUAAUGAAAACUGGGAGGGAAACCAUAGGAAAACCGACUACUCCAUGGUUGGCUGCUGCCAUGUAGAAUACAAAACCUUUGACUGUCAGGAAAAAUUACCUCUUAAAGUUCAGGAUGUGAUGGGGGGAAAAAAAAAAAUCAAUAAAUAAAUAAAAGGGAAAAACCAGCUUUCCAUCCCGAUACCUGGCUGGCCAUUGCAUAUGACUGAUCAGCACCAAUUGAUUGUUGCCGCUCUCAUGUGUACUUUGAAUCGCUGAUAAUUCUAACAUUCAAAAUGAUAAGUUACUUUGUCCUGAAUCCCACUGAUAAACAUGGAAUUUGUAAACGAAUGCAGAAGUUUGCUUUGGUGAAUUUCCAGCUGUCCUGGUAGGGGAAAAAAACCCUCAGGCUGAAUGAAAUCCCCACGGACAAAAUAAUACAAAAAGUCUGGGCUGCAAUUUGAUACCGGCCGAACUCCAGAGUCAGCUCCCCUAAAGUUAACACUAGUAACAAACUACUGCAACCGGAAAAAAACCCAUCUAUAUGGUGCUCAUUAUUGCCAGGAAGGCUUGGAAUAGCUAUACUAUAAAAAGAUCAGCAUAAAUAUGCAGCCAUUAGCAUUAUAACCAGCCAGUUUUGCAGAAUGCAUGUUGUGUUUUUAGGCAGCCUUGAUGCUGUACUUUAUUCUUUUUUUAAAUAUGUAUAUUCUGAUCACCUUUCCCAUUGCUCCUUCGAUAAUCAAUAGAAGUGCUCUUGGGGAGAGCUGCUCGCGGAGCGUUACCGUGGCAGUGCCUGUUCUGGCUGCCUUAAAGCCUACAAAGCCAGAACUAGCACGGUCAUUUCCCUUUGCCCCUCAGCAAAGCUUAUGCCUUUUGACUAAAAUACCUCUUUUUUAAUGUGUUUUAAUGUACACUUAGAAGUUAUUCGCCCUCUCUCCCUUUAUUUUGCAGAAGAUUAUUUUUAGGAUUAAAUCAGUGGGGUUUAAUCCCUCAUAGUACGAGUAGAUGGAAUUUUUAUUCUCAUCCUGCUUUAAAGUGGAGUUACAACACACAGUUAAAUGUGGUUAUUAAGAGAAAAUCUGAAGCGACAGGAAGAAAUUAAAGGAACGGAACCAGAUUCAAACUUGCAUUAAUAUUUCUCAGUCUCUGAGUGCUGUUUAAGGCAUAGCAAAUCUGAAAAGUUUUAUGCCUUAGACUUUGCUUAAGCGGUAGAAAAAUGUUUCCAAAUCUUGUUAAGAAACUCAGUUUUGCUUUCAAGGGGAAUGCGAUCGUUAGCAAAUAUUUUUUUCUCUCUAAUGCUUACUUGCAAAGCUAUUGUUUUUUUUU